GUAAGCGUAAUUUAACUCGACUUUCAAGAGCCCUUUGAGAAACCCCUCUCGGUUCCUCAAAGUUUCUUAAUUCGAAAACUUUCAAGUUACGGUUAUCGCCCAUGUAGGAGCGUAGUGUACUGUCGCAGAAUAGCGGUGUCACCAAUCAGAUGUGUGAUGAUGAUGUCUCAACUGCCGUGUUUCGCGCAGACGAUUAAAGUGGUGUUUUGCUUUUGGUCUGUCGAAAUGACACGGCUUGUCCACCGAUAUUCCGAAAAAGUGUCUGCCCUAUCAACCUGGUGGUAGUCUGUUAGUCCAUUAUAGUUAUUGCGGGUAACGAAAAAUAAAGGUUCGCCUCCGGAGAAGAAGCCUUAGAAACGGCUACCAUAUCUAAGGAA
rnacentral:ncRNA from 1 species